AGCAGCCGCGGUAAUUCCAGCUCCAAUAGCGUAUAUUAAAGUUGUUGCAGUUAAAAAGCUCGUAGUUGAAUUUCGGGAUCAAUUAAUUGGUCGUGCCUAUGGUACGUACUGAUUUUAUUGGUUUCUCCCUUCUGACGAACCAUGAUGUCAUUAAUUUGGUGUCGUGAAGAAUCAGGACUGUUACUUUGAAAAAAUUAGAGUGUUUAAAGCAAGCUAACGCUUGAAUACAUUAGCAUGGAAUAAUGAAAUAGGACGUUUGAUCCUAUUUUGUUGGUUUCUAGGAUCGACGUAAUGAUUAAUAGGGAUAGUUGGGGGCAUUAGUAUUCAAUUGUCAGAGGUGAAAUUCUUGGAUUUAUUGAAGACUAACUACUGCGAAAGCAUUUGCCAAGGAUGUUUUCAUUAAUCAAGAACGAAAGUUAGGGGAUCGAAGACGAUCAGAUACCGUCGUAGUCUUAACCAUAAACUAUGCCGACUAGGGAUCGGAUGAUGUUAAUUUUUUUAAUGACUCAUUCGGCGCCUU
rnacentral:rRNA from 1 species